GAUGAACGCUGGCGGCGUGCCUAAUACAUGCAAGUCGAGCGAACAGACGAGGAGCUUGCUCCUCUGACGUUAGCGGCGGACGGGUGAGUAACACGUGGAUAACCUACCUAUAAGACUGGGAUAACUUCGGGAAACCGGAGCUAAUACCGGAUAAUAUAUUGAACCGCAUGGUUCAAUAGUGAAAGACGGUUUUGCUGUCACUUAUAGAUGGAUCCGCGCCGCAUUAGCUAGUUGGUAAGGUAACGGCUUACCAAGGCGACGAUGCGUAGCCGACCUGAGAGGGUGAUCGGCCACACUGGAACUGAGACACGGUCCAGACUCCUACGGGAGGCAGCAGUAGGGAAGCUGCCGCAAUGGGCGAAAGCCUGACGGAGCAACGCCGCGUGAGUGAUGAAGGUCUUCGGAUCGUAAAACUCUGUUAUUAGGGAAGAACAAAUGUGUAAGUAACUAUGCACGUCUUGACGGUACCUAAUCAGAAAGCCACGGCUAACUACGUG
rnacentral:rRNA from 1 species